rnacentral:rRNA from 1 species
ACAGCAGCAGCCACGGGAAUACGUAGGGUGCGAGCGUUAAUCGGAAUUACUGGGCGUAAAGCGUGCGCAGGCGGUUCGUUAAGACAGAUGUGAAAUCCCCGGGCUUAACCUGGGAACUGCAUUUGUGACUGGCGAGCUAGAGUAUGGCAGAGGGGGGUAGAAUUCCACGUGUAGCAGUGAAAUGCGUAGAGAUGUGGAGGAAUACCGAUGGCGAAGGCAGCCCCCUGGGCCAAUACUGACGCUCAUGCACGAAAGCGUGGGGAGCAAACAGGAUUAGAUACCCGCGUAGUCCCUGUCUCUUAUAC